rnacentral:rRNA from 1 species
AGAAUCAACGCUGGCGGCGUGCCUAACACAUGCAAGUCGAACGAGAAAGUGGAGCAAUCCAUGAGUAAAGUGGCGCACGGGUGAGUAACACGUGACUAACCUACCCUGGAGUGGGGGAUAACUGAGGGAAACCUUAGCUAAUACCGCAUAAUACCUACGGGUCAAAGGAGCAAUUCGCUUCAGGAGGGGGUCGCGGCCGAUUAGUUAGUUGGCGGGGUAAUGGCCCACCAAGACAGUGAUCGGUAUCCGGCCUGAGAGGGCGCACGGACACACUGGAACUGAAACACGGUCCAGACUCCUACGGGAGGCAGCAGUGGGAAUUUUGCGCAAUGGGGGAAACCCUGACGCAGCAACGCCGCGUGGAGGAUGAAGUCCUUCGGGACGUAAACUCCUUCGAUCGGGACGAUUAUGACGGUACCGGAAGAAGAAGCCCGGCUAACUUCGCGCCAGCAGCCGC